rnacentral:rRNA from 1 species
UUUGGUUAAGUUAGAAAGGGCGCACGGUGGAUGCCUUGACACUAGGAGUCGAUGAAGGACGGGACUAACGCCGAUAUGCUUCGGGGAGCUGUAAGUAAGCUUUGAUCCGAAGAUUUCCGAAUGGGGAAACCCACCAUACGUAAUGGUAUGGUAUCCUUAUCUGAAUACAUAGGGUAAGGAAGACAGACCCAGGGAACUGAAACAUCUAAGUACCUGGAGGAAGAGAAAGCAAAUGCGAUUUCCUGAGUAGCGGCGAGCGAAACGGAACAUAGCCCAAACCAAGAGGCUUGCCUCUUGGGGUUGUAGGACAUUCUAUACGGAGUUACAAAGGAACGAGGUAGACGAAGCGACCUGGAAAGGUCCGUCGUAGAGGGUAACAACCCCGUAGUCGAAACUUCGUUCUCUCUUGAAUGUAUCCUGAGUACGGCGGAACACGUGAAAUUCCGUCGGAAUCUGGGAGGACCAUCUCCCAAGGCUAAAUACUCCCUAGUGAUCGAUAGUGAACCAGUACCGUGAGGGAAAGGUGAAAAGCACCCCGGAAGGGGAGUGAAAGAGAUCCUGAAACCGUGUGCCUACAAAUAGUCAGAGCCCGUUAAUGGGUGAUGGCGUGCCUUUUGUAGAAUGAACCGGCGAGUUACGAUCCCGUGCGAGGUUAAGCUGAAGAGGCGGAGCCGCAGCGAAAGCGAGUCUGAAUAGGGCGUUUAGUACGUGGUCGUAGACCCGAAACCAGGUGAUCUACCCAUGUCCAGGGUGAAGUUCAGGUAACACUGAAUGGAGGCCCGAACCCACGCACGUUGAAAAGUGCGGGGAUGAGGUGUGGGUAGCGGAGAAAUUCCAAUCGAACCUGGAGAUAGCUGGUUCUCCCCGAAAUAGCUUUAGGGCUAGCCUUAAGUGUAAGAGUCUUGGAGGUAGAGCACUGAUUGGACUAGGGGUCCUCAUCGGAUUACCGAAUUCAGUCAAACUCCGAAUGCCAAUGACUUAUCCUUAGGAGUCAGACUGCGAGUGAUAAGAUCCGUAGUCAAAAGGGAAACAGCCCAGACCGCCAGCUAAGGUCCCAAAGUGUGUAUUAAGUGGAAAAGGAUGUGGAGUUGCUUAGACAACUAGGAUGUUGGCUUAGAAGCAGCCACCAUUUAAAGAGUGCGUAAUAGCUCACUAGUCGAGUGACUCUGCGCCGAAAAUGUACCGGGGCUAAAUACACCACCGAAGCUGCGGAUUGAUACCAAUGGUAUCAGUGGUAGGGGAGCGUUCUAAGGACAGUGAAGUCAGACCGGAAGGACUGGUGGAGUGCUUAGAAGUGAGAAUGCCGGUAUGAGUAGCGAAAGACGGGUGAGAAUCCCGUCCACCGAAUGCCUAAGGUUUCCUGAGGAAGGCUCGUCCGCUCAGGGUUAGUCAGGACCUAAGCCGAGGCCGACAGGCGUAGGCGAUGGACAACAGGUUGAUAUUCCUGUACCACCUCUUUAUCGUUUGAGCAAUGGAGGGACGCAGAAGGAUAGAAGAAGCGUGCGAUUGGUUGUGCACGUCCAAGCAGUUAGGCUGAUAAGUAGGCAAAUCCGCUUAUCGUAAAGGCUGAGCUGUGAUGGGGAAGCUCCUUAUGGAGCGAAGUCUUUGAUUCCCCGCUGCCAAGAAAAGCUUCUAGCGAGAUAAAAGGUGCCUGUACCGCAAACCGACACAGGUAGGCGAGGAGAGAAUCCUAAGGUGUGCGAGAGAACUCUGGUUAAGGAACUCGGCAAAAUGACCCCGUAACUUCGGGAGAAGGGGUGCUUUCUUAACGGAAAGCCGCAGUGAAUAGGCCCAAGCGACUGUUUAGCAAAAACACAGCUCUCUGCGAAGCCGUAAGGCGAAGUAUAGGGGGUGACACCUGCCCGGUGCUGGAAGGUUAAGGAGAGGGGUUAGCGUAAGCGAAGCUCUGAACUGAAGCCCCAGUAAACGGCGGCCGUAACUAUAACGGUCCUAAGGUAGCGAAAUUCCUUGUCGGGUAAGUUCCGACCCGCACGAAAGGUGUAACGAUUUGGGCACUGUCUCAACCAGAGACUCGGUGAAAUUAUAGUACCUGUGAAGAUGCAGGUUACCCGCGACAGGACGGAAAGACCCCGUGGAGCUUUACUGUAGCCUGAUAUUGAAUUUUGGUACAGUUUGUACAGGAUAGGCGGGAGCCAUUGAAACCGGAGCGCUAGCUUCGGUGGAGGCGCUGGUGGGAUACCGCCCUGACUGUAUUGAAAUUCUAACCUACGGGUCUUAUCGACCCGGGAGACAGUGUCAGGUGGGCAGUUUGACUGGGGCGGUCGCCUCCUAAAGUGUAACGGAGGCGCCCAAAGGUUCCCUCAGAAUGGUUGGAAAUCAUUCGUAGAGUGCAAAGGCAUAAGGGAGCUUGACUGCGAGACCUACAAGUCGAGCAGGGACGAAAGUCGGGCUUAGUGAUCCGGUGGUUCCGCAUGGAAGGGCCAUCGCUCAACGGAUAAAAGCUACCCCGGGGAUAACAGGCUUAUCUCCCCCAAGAGUCCACAUCGACGGGGAGGUUUGGCACCUCGAUGUCGGCUCAUCGCAUCCUGGGGCUGUAGUCGGUCCCAAGGGUUGGGCUGUUCGCCCAUUAAAGCGGUACGCGAGCUGGGUUCAGAACGUCGUGAGACAGUUCGGUCCCUAUCCGUCGUGGGCGUAGGAAAUUUGAGAGGAGCUGUCCUUAGUACGAGAGGACCGGGAUGGACGCACCGCUGGUGUACCAGUUGUUCUGCCAAGGGCAUAGCUGGGUAGCUAUGUGCGGAAGGGAUAAGUGCUGAAAGCAUCUAAGCAUGAAGCCCCCCUCAAGAUGAGAUUUCCCAUAGCGUAAGCUAGUAAGAUCCCUGAAAGAUGAUCAGGUUGAUAGGUUCGAGGUGGAAGCAUGGUGACAUGUGGAGCUGACGAAUACUAAUAGAUCGAGGACUUAACCAUAUAA